UACGGGGGUGGCGAGCGUUGUCCGGAAUCACUGGGCUUGAAAGCGUGUGUAGGCGGGUCGUUAAGUGCCUUGUGAAAUCCCACAGCUCACCUGUGGAACUGGCGUUGGCAUACUGGCGGAUCUUGAGCCACUUAGGGGCAACCGGAACAAACGGUGGAGCGGUGAAAUGCGUAGAUAUCGUUUGGAACGCCAAUGGUGAAAACAGGUUGCUGGGAGUGCGCUGACGCUGAAGACACGGAAAGCCAGGGGAGCGAAACGGG
rnacentral:rRNA from 1 species